AUUGACCGCUGGCGGCAGGCCUAACACAUGCAAGUCGAACGAGUGGCGGACGGGUGAGUAAUGUCUGGGAAACUGCCCGAUGGAGGGGGAUAACUACUGGAAACGGUAACUAAUACCGCAUACCAUCGGAUGUGCCCAAAUGGGAUUAGCUAGGAGGUGGGUGAAAGUCUCCCCUAGGCUAAGAUCCCUAGCUGGGCUGAGAGGAUGACCAGCCCCACUGGAACUGAGACACGGUCCAGACUCCUACGGGAGGCAGCAGUGGGUAUGAUGGAACUAUGGGCGCAAGCCUGAUGCAGCCAUGCCGCGUGUAGUAAGAAGGACUUCGGGGUGUAAAGUACUUUCAGUGAGGAGGCGUUACUCGCAGAAGAAGCACCGGCUAACUCCGUGCCAGCAGCCGCGGUAAUUC
rnacentral:rRNA from 1 species